rnacentral:rRNA from 1 species
AUUGAACGCUGGCGGCAUGCCUUACACAUGCAAGUCGAACGGUAACGGGCCUUCGGGUGCCGCCGCGUGGCGAACGGGUGAGUAAUACAUCGGAACGUGCCCGAUCGUGGGGGAUAACGAGGCGAAAGCUUUGCUAAUACCGCAUACGAUCUACGGAUGAAAGCAGGGGACCGCAAGGCCUUGCGCGGACGGAGCGGCAGAUGGCAGAUUAGGUAGUUGGUGGGAUAAAAGCUUACCAAGCCGACGAUCUGUAGCUGGUCUGAGAGGAUGAUAAGCCACACUGGGACUGAGACAGGGCCAAGACUCCUACGGGAGGAAGCAGUGGGGAAUUUUGGACAAUGGGGGAAAGCCUGAUCCAGCCAUGCCGCGUGGAGGAUGAAGGCCUUCGGGUUGUAAACUGCUUUUGUACGGAACGAAAAGCCUUCUUUUAAUACAGGAGGGUCAUGACGGUACCGUAAGAAUAAGCACCGGCUAACUACGUG